CUGUCAAGAGCUGGAAGAAAUGUUUGGUUGCUGCUGGUGCACAUAUCUGCCUGUUCAUUCUUGACUGUUCCUUGCUUGAAUUCUAUUUGAAUAACAAGAACUAGUAGUGAAGGAGUGACUUGCUUAAGAUUAAUGAUCCCAUGACAUCUUAGUUGACUGUUUUGGUGCUGCUAGGCAGACUGAAGUUAGUUAGUAGAGGUAACAUUGUUUUUAUUAGAAUUAAUGUUUCCUUGACCACACACUUCACAGUCAGGCAAUAUAAGCAGUGUGGCUAAUAUGACUGAGCAAAUGUCUAUGAAAGCAUAAACAUGAGAACUCUAAAAUCAUAGUUCAGAACCAUGGUUGUUUCUUAUGCUCAUGUUGUCAGUGUUGCCAAGAUUUUUUCCAAGGGAGAAUGGCCAGACAGUUAGCUCCAAGACUUACAAUUAAGAUUAUUUUUUACUUCUCACCCUAGUAUAUUGAGGACAGAGGGAUAAUUUUAUUUAAACAGUGCAUGUAAGUUUGGUAUUAUUUAAUAUAUCCCUCCUUUUUCUAAUUUAAGUUAUUCUACCUCCUCCAUGCUGGUACCCAUGUUUUCUGAUAACAAAAUAAUUUGAGUCUAGUUACAGGUGAUUUUACAAUCAGUGUGAGUGUCAGGGACACAACAUUCUACACAAGUGACAUCUGUGUGAAGAAACACUUCCUUGUCAGCAAGCUGACCAUUCUUACUAACAUUUCUAGGGAUCAGGUUCCUGGAAACCAUCACCCUGGUUUGGCUCCAUGAGUUACUUUGAAGGUGUGGGGAAUGAAAUUCAGACGCAGCACCCCAGUAAUGACUCAUACUGCACAACUGUACGUAGUGGAGUGUCAGGACUCUGGGGGCCUUCCAGGUAUUCCUCAACCAUGAUAAUGGAUUCCUUUGCUCUAGGGAGUUACAGUGUACAAAGUUAUGAAAGAAGGAUUCCACUUCAUAUCACAGUAGAUUGUGACCUGAGCCAUGUCUCAUGUGUGCACUGUUGAAGGUCCACCAUCAGAACAAGAUGAUAUAUCGGUGCUCACUCCUCAGAGUUGGUAUCGUCUCUGCAGUUAGGCUUUUGUAUCCGAUUCCUGUCUGGAGCCUAGGCCACUUUCCUACUUCAGCCAAGACCAAUUGCAUGGCUCAUGGCUUCCAUAUUGGUUUGCAGGCCCUGUCAUGGACACUUGAGCCAGUGGGACUGGCAGUUUCGCCUGCAUGCACAUGCAGCUGGACAGUUUUGAACAAGACAGUGUGAUGUUGACAGAUGGCACAGUGGAUCCUGAAGCAGGGAAUGUGGAGGUUCAUAUGCUUUCCAGUCUUCUCUUCAGAACAAUCAGGACCCUGCAGUUAUGUAGAAAUAUUAAGCUCAGUCAUUCGAUUGAGUGGACACAAGUGGAAAUGUUUCGUUUGUGAGGAGAGCCUUCAAAAUCUAUUUGUGGAAUACACUUGUGGGGUUUUGUGUUUAGAAGAAUGACAUUUCUGUAGUUUCCUUAAUGUAUGUUCUCGUCAUGAAAGCAAAAGUCUGAAAUUAACUUAAAUAUGGCCAAGUAAAAGAAAUCUACAAUUUAUCGCUGCUGAUAUGAAGUUAUAAUUUAUUUCAGAAACUUUUGAAACUUGUUUCCUUUAAGUAAUUCAUACAGAUUCAUUUUGUACCUAACAGUGAGCAAACUCAGUCUUGUGGGCUGUGACACUUGUUUGACUGUCAGAAGUUCACAGAAGUUUUGGGAAAAUACGCAGCCUCCAUGUUCAGGGUCGAAAAGUAAGCCAAACAAGCAACCAACCAGGAAGAACAAGUAUCGAGGAAUGUGGUACACUGACAUUUCAAAGAAAAUGCACAGCCUUCAUCUCCUGUGUCAGAGAGAGAGUCAAGUAAACAGAGGGGACUACAGGGCAGCUUGUCCUCGAAUCCACAUCUGGGUCUUCCUAAAAGAGACUAAUUUGUUAAUGCUGUUUAAAUAGCUAAAUACAAUUUAUUGUGAGAAUGAUGUUAAACAAAUAAAUAGAAUAUUUACACAAAAUGCAGAAUUGUUUUAAUGUUAUUGCAUGUGAUGCUUGUAGGAACCUCUGUAGUUCA